CGCGGUAGUUUAACCGUGCGAAGGUAGCGUAGUAAUUUGUCUUUUAAUUGAAGGCUUGAAUGAACGGUCGGAUGAGAUGUAAACUGUCUUUCUUGUAAUGAAAGAAUUUAACUUUUGAGUGAAAAGGCUCAGAUAUAAUAAAGGGACGAUAAGACCCUAUAAAGCUUUAUGUGGGCUGUGCUAUAGAGUGAAUUAAGGUUAAGUUUUUGAUGAUGUCCAUAUUUCGUUGGGGAGACGGAGAUAUAAUAGGUAACUGUCUUGGAAAUUUUAUAGGUGUUUUUAGAGAGUGAUCCUUCUUUGGGGAUUUAUAGAAAAAGUUACUUUAGGGAUAACAGCGUGAUUUUUCUCUGAGAGUUCUUAUCGACGAGAGUAGUCGCGACCUCGAUGUUGAAUUAAAGUUUCAGUUGGGUGUAGUUGUUCAA
rnacentral:rRNA from 1 species